rnacentral:sRNA from 1 species
AAGGUAAAUUUAUUAUUUCACACACAUAUCUACACUAACAAUCGGGGUGCCAAACGGUCGAUUGUCUAGGGAUAUGUGGAGGCUAAAC